rnacentral:rRNA from 1 species
AGAGUUUGAUCAUGGCUCAGAUUGAACGCUGGCGGCAUGCCUAACACAUGCAAGUCGAACGGUAACGCGGGGGCAACCCUGGCGACGAGUGGCGGACGGGUGAGUAAUACGUAGGAAUCUGCCCAUUUGUGGGGGAUAACCCGGCGAAAGCCGGGCUAAUACCGCAUACGCUCUACGGAGGAAAGCGGGGGAUCGCAAGACCUCGCGCUAAUGGAUGAGCCUACGUCGGAUUAGCUAGUUGGUAGGGUAACGGCCUACCAAGGCGACGAUCCGUAGCUGGUCUGAGAGGACGAUCAGCCACACUGGGACUGAGACACGGCCCAGACUCCUACGGGAGGCAGCAGUGGGGAAUAUUGGACAAUGGGGGCAACCCUGAUCCAGCAAUGCCGCGUGUGUGAAGAAGGCCUGCGGGUUGUAAAGCACUUUCAGAGGGGAAGAAAAAAUCGGAUCUAACACAUCCGAGCUGACGUACCCUAGAAGAGACC